UACGGGGGGGGCAAGCGUUGUUCGGAAUUACUGGGCGUAAAGGGCUCGUAGGCGGCCAACUAAGUCAGACGUGAAAUCCCUCGGCUUAACCGGGGAACUGCGUCUGAUACUGGAUGGCUUGAGUUUGGGAGAGGGAUGCGGAAUUCCAGGUGUAGCGGUGAAAUGCGCAGAUAUCAGGAGGAACACCGAUGGCGAAGGCAGCUCGCUGGAACGGUACUGACGCUGAGGCGCGAAAGCGUGGGGAGCGAACAGG
rnacentral:rRNA from 1 species